rnacentral:rRNA from 1 species
GAUGAACGCUGGCGGCGUGCCUAAUACAUGCCAGUCGAGCGAACAGACGAGGAGCUUGCUCCUCUGACGUUAGCGGCGGACGGGUGAGUAACACGUGGAUAACCUACCUAUAAGACUGGGAUAACUUCGGGAAACCGGAGCUAAUACCGGAUAAUAUAUUGAACCGCAUGGUUCAAUAGUGAAAGACGGUUUUGCUGUCACUUAUAGAUGGAUCCGCGCCGCAUUAGCUAGUUGGUAAGGUAACGGCUUACCAAGGCAACGAUGCGUAGCCGACCUGAGAGGGUGAUCGGCCACACUGGAACUGAGACACGGUCCAGACUCCUACGGGAGGCAGCAGUAGGGAAUCUUCCGCAAUGGGCGAAAGCCUGACGGAGCAACGCCGCGUGAGUGAUGAAGGUCUUCGGAUCGUAAAACUCUGUUAUUAGGGAAGAACAAAUGUGUAAGUAACUAUGCGCGUCUUGACGGUACCUAAUCAGAAAGCCACGGCUAACUACGUG